AUGGAGCUAUUGAAGCCAUUGUUGCCAAGGUCGAGCUUGACGAGGGACCGCAGCUGCGAGAGGCUUGCCGGGAUGGCGCCGGUGAGGUUGUUGUUGUUGAGAUCGAGCGCGGCCAAGGCCGGCAGCGCCGCAGCGUCCAGUGCACCCAGCGUGCCGGUGAGUCCCCGGAGCCUGAGCGACGUGACGCGGCCGGCGUCGUCGCAGGCCACGCCGAGCCAGGAGGAGCAGACCGGCGUGGCCAGAGUCCAGCUGGACAGCGCGGCUGGGUGGCCGAGGCUGGCCUUCCAUGCCAGAAGGGCGCCGGCCUGCGUGGGCGCCGCGGUCACCGCCGACACAGUGGCCGCCAGCAGGAGUAGGAGGAGCACCACGGUGGCGUGGAGGAGGUGCGCGUACGCCGGUCUCGCCAUGUCCCUGACGGAGAGUCUGUGA
rnacentral:rRNA from 1 species